GUUGUUGUAGCUUAAAAAUUUUAAAGCGCAGUGCUGAAAACACUGAAAUGGGCCAGCAACGCCCCAAAAACA
rnacentral:tRNA from 1 species